rnacentral:rRNA from 1 species
AGCGAACGCUGGCGGCAGGCUUAACACAUGCAAGUCGAGCGGGCAUCCUUGUGGUGUCAGCGGCAGACGGGUGAGUAACGCGUGGGAACGUGCCCUUCGGUUCGGAAUAACUCAGGGAAACUUGAGCUAAUACCGGAUACGUGCGAGAGCAGAAAGGUUUAUCUGCCGAAGGAUCGGCCCGCGUCUGAUUAGCUAGUUGGUGAGGUUAUGGCUCACCAAGGCGACGACCAGUAGCUGGUCUGAGAGGAUGAUCAGCCACACUGGGACUGAGACACGGCCCAGACUCCUACGGGAGGCAGCAGUGGGGAAUAUUGGACAAUGGGGGCAACCCUGAUCCAGCCAUGCCGCGUGAGUGAUGACGGCCUUAGGGUUGUAAAGCUCUUUUCUCCGGGACGAUAAUGACGGUACCGGAGGAAUAAGCCCCGGCUAACUUCGUG